rnacentral:rRNA from 1 species
UACGUAGGGUGCGAGCGUUGUCCGGAAUUACUGGGCGUAAAGAGCUCGUAGGUGGUUUGUCGCGUUGUUCGUGAAAACUCACAGCUCAACUGUGGGCGUGCGGGCGAUACGGGCAGACUGGAGUACUGCAGGGGAGACUGGAAGUUCCUGGUGGUAGCGGUGGAAUGCGCAGAUAUCAGGAGGAACACCAGUGGCGAAGGCGACUACCUGGCCUGUUCUUGACGCUGAGGCGCGAAAGCUAGGGGAGGCAAACGGGG